UUUUUAGACUUUUCUCUCUCUCAUUCUAUUAUAUAAUGCUUGAUUCAUUGUAUGAUGCUGAAUUAUAGCAAGGUAGGCUGAUUUGCUGGAUAUAUAGACCAUGCUAAGUCAAAAGUGGGUUAACCACUCCAUAUUUGGACAGAUAUGCAAGUUAUCUAUAAAAAAAAUGUGACAUAAGGGUAUUUUUGACAUUUUAAUUUAUUUCUAGAAUUUGCCAUUGGUUGUAAACCCUUAGGGUUUAGGUUUUGAGCAAUCUAGGGUUUAGGGUUUAGAGUAUUUAGAGUUUAGGGUUUAACCCUUUAGGGUUUAGGUUUUAACCCUAAAGACUUUAGCAAUUAAAAUUCUAAGAUUUUCUAAUUAGAUUUUAAAAUAGAAAAUCAUGAUUUCUAAUUUAUAAUGAGGGCUUCCUAAUUAUAUUAUAAUUUCCUAAUUAUUAUAAUUUUUCUAAUUACAUUAGGUCUUAAACUAAUUAGGAUUAAUAUUUUCCCAAU
rnacentral:lncRNA from 1 species